CAGUAGCCGCGGGAAUACGUAGGGAGCAAGCGUUGUUCGGAUUUACUGGGCGUAAAUGGCGCGUAGGCGGCGCGGUAAGUCACUUGUGAAAUCUCUGAGCUUAACUCAGAACGGCCAAGUGAUACUGCUGUGCUAGAGUGCGGAAGAGGCAACCGGAAUUCUUGGUGUAGCGGUGAAAUGCGUAGAUAUCAAGAGGAACACCUGAGGCGAAGGCGGGUUGCUGGGCCGACACUGACGCUGAUGCGCGAAAGCCAGGGGAGCAAACGGGAUUAGAUACCCCCGUAGUCCCUGUCUCUUAUAC
rnacentral:rRNA from 1 species